AGUGAACGCUGGCGGUAGGCCUAACACAUGCAAGUCGAACGGCAGCACAGUAAGAGCUUGCUCUUACGGGUGGCGAGUGGCGGACGGGUGAGGAAUACAUCGGAAUCUACUUUUUCGUGGGGGAUAACGUAGGGAAACUUACGCUAAUACCGCAUACGACCUACGGGUGAAAGCAGGGGAUCUUCGGACCUUGCGCGAUUGGAUGAGCCGAUGUCGGAUUAGCUAGUUGGCGGGGUAAAGGCCCACCAAGGCGACGAUCCGUAGCUGGUCUGAGAGGAUGAUCAGCCACACUGGAACUGAGACACAGUCCAGACUCCUACGGGGGGCAGCAGUGGGGAAUAUUGGACAAUGGGCGCAAGCCUGAUCCAGCAAUACCGCGUGGAUAAAGAAGGCCUUCGGGUUGUAAAGCCCUUUUGUUGGGAAAGAAAAGCAGCAGGUUAAUACCCCGCUGUUCUGACGGUACCCAAAGAAUAAGCACCGGCUAACUUCGUG
rnacentral:rRNA from 1 species